AAGUCGAACGAAGUAGCAAUACUUAGUGGCAGACGGGUGAGUAACAUGUAGGUAUCUGCCCUUUGGCCUGGAAUAACACGAGGAAACUUGUGCUAAUACCGGAUAAGUCUUUACGGAGAAAGCUUUAUGCACCAUUGGAUGAGCCUGCACUUGAUUAGUUUGUUGGUGGGGUAAUGGCCUACCAAGACUGUGAUCAAUAGCUGAUUUGAGAGGAUGAUCAGCCACAUUGGGACUGAGACACGGCCCAAACUCCUACGGGAGGCAGCAGUGGGGAAUCUUGCACAAUGGAGGAAACUCUGAUGCAGCGAUGCCGCGUGAGUGAAGAAGGCCCUUGGGUUGUAAAGCUCUUUCGUCGGGGAAGAAAAUGACUGUACCCGAAUAAGAAGGUCCGGCUAACUUCGUGCCAGCAGCCGCGGUAAUACGAAGGGACCUAGCGUAGUUCGGAAUUACUGGGCUUAAAGAGUUCGUAGGUGGUUGAAAAAGUUAGUGGUGAAAUCCCAGAGCUUAACUCUGGAACUGCCAUUAAAACUUUUCAGCUAGAGUAUGAUAGAGGAAAGCAGAAUUUCUAGUGUAGAGGUGAAAUUCGUAGAUAUUAGAAAGAAUACCAAUUGCGAAGGCAGCUUUCUGGAUCAUUACUGACACUGAGGAACGAAAGCAUGGGUAGCGAAGAGGAUUAGAUACCCUCGUAGUCCAUGCCGUAAACGAUGUGUGUUAGACGUUGGAAAUUUAUUUUCAGUGUCGCAGGGAAACCGAUAAACACACCGCCUGGGGAGUACGACCGCAAGGUUAAAACUCAAAUGAAUUGACGGGGACCCGCACAAGUAGUGGAGCAUGUGGUUUAAUUCGAAGAUACGCGCAGAACCUUACCAACACUUGACAUGUUCGUCGCGACUCUAAGAGAUUAGAGUUUUCGGUUCGGCCGGACGAAACACAGGUGCUGCAUGGCUGUCGUCAGCUCGUGUCGUGAGAUGUUGGGUUAAGUCC
rnacentral:rRNA from 1 species